rnacentral:rRNA from 1 species
GAGUUUGAUCCUGGCUCAGGAUGAACGCUAGCUACAGGCCUAACACAUGCAAGUCGAGGGGAAACGGGAAAGCAGCUUGCUGCUUUCUGUCGUCGACCGGCGCACGGGUGAGUAACGCGUAUCCAACCUUCCCAUAACUAAGGGAUACCCCGUAGGAAUGCGGCCUAAUACCUUAUGUACCCCCAUGACGGCAUCAGAAUGGGAGCAAAGAAUUUCGGUUAUGGAUGGGGAUGCGUCUGAUUAGCUUGCUGGCGGGGUAACGGCCCACCAGGGCAUCGAUCAGUAGGGGUUCUGAGAGGAAGGUCCCCCACAUUGGAACUGAGACACGGUCCAAACUCCUACGGGAGGCAGCAGUGAGGAAUAUUGGUCAAUGGGCGUAAGCCUGAACCAGCCAAGUAGCGUGCAGGAUGACGGCCCUAUGGGUUGUAAACUGCUUCUACAGGGGAAUAAAGUGAUUCACGUGUGUUUCAUUGCAUGUACCCUGCGAAUAAGGACCGGCUAAUUCCGUGCCAGCCGCCGCGGUAAC